AGUACUUUUGUCCAUCUGUUCUCUGUUGUGUGAUCCCAAUCCAGAUGAUCCUUUAGUGCCUGAGAUUGCACGGAUCUACAAAACAGAUAGAGAAAAGUACAACAGAAUAGCUCGGGAAUGGACUCAGAAGUAUGCGAUGUAAUUAAAGAAAUUAUUGGAUAACCUCUACAAAUAAAGAUAGGGGAACUCUGAAAGAGAAAGUCCUUUUGAUUUCCAUUUGACUGCUUUCUAUGAGCCCACGCCUCAUCUUCCCCUGUGCACAUGUUUACCUGAUACAGCAGUGCUGCGUGUUGUACAUACUUGGAACAACAAAAUAGAAAUACUGUAUUUCCCCGUACCAACAUUGACUCCUAGCAGAGAAGUGUGUGUGUGAAAAGCUGGUUCUUCAGUCAUAACUUUGUGAGCCUAAAAGCAUUCCUUGCUGGUUUAAAUUGGGUAAUAAAAUGUGAAUGGGAGAGUUAUGGUGGAUUUCAUAUUUCUAGGGACAGUGUUGCCGAUCCGUGAAGGAUUUUAAGUGGAAUCCUUUUAAACUCAUAACAGUUAUGAAAACCAAGGUGAAGAACUUGAAGCUGUUUCUGUAUUCAUUUUAUUCUGAAGGACCUACACCUUAGGUAAAUGUUAUGACCAAUGAGAUAAACUGUACCCACAUCCUGUGUUUAAGGUCUAAGUUUAACCGGUCAACAUUUAAAUGGAUUGGAGCUAUUAGUGCAUCAAGUGAUGUUGAUUUGUUUCAACUCUCUCCCCUCCUUCAUACUUUUUUUUGGUUUGUAUGUGGUUUCUCAGUUAAUACAUAGCUAAUAGCUCUUGUUUUUCUUAGGUUUUUUAACUGCUUAGGUCUUUCUGGAUGUAAGGGUAAAAAUCCAUUUGACAGAAAACUUGUGUAUAUUUAAAGACCCAACUGCUCCCCUGGAGCUUGUACGUUCAAGAAUGAUUAAUCUGUGUAAUAAACUGAUUACUACAGUCAUUACAUAUAACUUUGUGUGAAUAGGCUUUUAAUUUUAAGAGCAGUUUGUUACAGGCUAAAACUAAUGGUGGAUUUCUCUAAAACUUUUGCAUUCACGAAUGGUUGCAUUUGGAAGUCAUGAAGCAGUUUGGUUUGCAUCACACGAGGCUAUGCACCUGAACAGGACAAACAUAAGCUUAAGCACUUACAUGAAAUCAGGAUGUGUAGUGUGCCAGGAACUUGACUGUUAAACCAAAUAAGCAGUUUACUAAAUGAGAAUCUGAGUGACAUUUUACAAAGUCUAAUGGUAUUAUUCCCACUUGCAUGGGACCUAACACAAUGCAUAUGUACUGUAGGUAAGUGAAACCUUAUGUAACUAAAAUAAUGGAUGUAAAAGGGUAAAAAAAAAAAAAAAGAAAAAACCUACCAAACACAUCAGCACAAACUUUCAUAAAAUGUAGCUUUUACAUAAUUACUUUGCACUAAACAUUUGCAAAUGUUCAUACA